GCCUACUCAACACGUCGGAACACACCGCUGUUUGGCUCUCUCUAAAUCUUGCAUGCAACAGUAAUAACCAGAAGCAACAUUGCAGCGUCACACCACUUUGUUCUAAAAGGUAGCCUCUAGUUGGCUGCUGGACUCAGGGUAAAUAUGCUAAGUAUGGAGCGAUGACAUCUUACAUCCCUUUCACCAUCGUCGUCUUUCCCAAUACAUCCCAAUUCUAGUUCCGCAAUGUGCAUGUUAUGUCAUAAGAUUUAAAACUUGGGGUGAAGUUAUGCACGCAAAACGCAUGAUGAUAUUCGUAGUUAUGUCCUGAUCUCUUUACUUCUCUUCACCUCCUCUAAAUCACCUGGUUGAUUAAUUUGUAUGAUAUAUUGGAGCAUACCCCUUUCUCUUCUGUAUUUUAGCCAUGUGUGGAAGUUGUA
rnacentral:lncRNA from 1 species